ACAGUCUCCCCUCCACAGGAGGCAUCAGAAUUAGAGGCUCCUGCAACUUAUUCUCUUAUUUUUCAAUGCCCCUUGGCAAUCAUUAUUUCGCCUGACCGUUUGAUCUUUCUUUUCAACAUCCUGAAUAUGGGUUCACACGUGGCUGUUAGAUGAGAUGUGAACCAUGACAGGUAGUUCAAUCUUUCUAAGAAACCACGAACCUCUCUUUUUCUUUCUCGGUUCAGGCACUUCUCUUAUUUUUU
rnacentral:lncRNA from 1 species